rnacentral:sRNA from 1 species
UUGACCCUGCUGUGUGCGUGCUGCCGCAAUCCGGUUCUGAGCCAACACACACUUUAUGGGUCUCAGACUUACGACAGUGACGCGAUAGGCCGGAGCCAAGGCGGAGCUGGCGAGGCGGGACCCACCCUGCGAAGGCAGGUUCAGAACUUAGCUGCACACGACACGGUGGGGUAUUC